rnacentral:rRNA from 1 species
GAGUAACACGUGGGUAACCUGCCCAUAAGAGGGGAGUAACAUCCGGAAACGGGUGCUAAUACCGCAUAGUUUCUUGAUCGCAUGAUUGAGAAAGGAAAGACGGCCUUUGUGCUGUCGCUUAUGGAUGGACCCGCGGCGUAUUAGUUAGUUAGGUGAGGUAACGGCUCACCAAGACGAUGAUACGUAGCCGACCUGAGAGGGUGAUCGGCCACAUUGGGACUGAGACACGGCCCAAACUCCUACGGGAGGCAGCAGUAGGGAAUCUUCCGCAAUGGACGAAAGUCUGACGGAGCAACGCCGCGUGAGUGAAGAAAAGGUUUUCGGAUCGUAAAACUCUGUUGUCAGAGAAGAACAAGUUGGAGAGUAACUGCUCCAGCCUUGACGGUAUCUGACCAGAAAGCCACGGCUAACUACGUGCCAGCAGCCGC